UACGUAGGUGGCAAGCGUUAUCCGGAAUUACUGGGCGUAAAGCGCACGCAGGCGGCUUUUCAAGUUCGACGUGAAAGCUUCCGGCUUAACUGGGAGAGGUCGUUGAAGACUGAGAGGCUUGAGGCAAGGAGAGGGGUGUAGAAUUCCCGGUGUAGUGGUGGAAUGCGUAGAUAUCGGGAGGAAUACCAGUGGCGAAAGCGGCACCCUAGCCUUAGCCUGACGCUCAUGUGCGAAAGCGUGGGGAGCGAACGGG
rnacentral:rRNA from 1 species